UUUUGCAAAUUUGAUAUACAAUAACUAAAACUUGAUGUAUAUCAUUUUAUCCUAGAACAAAGAAACUAUGGUUCAUAAUGGUGGCAGUGCACGACAACUAGAAAAAUGUUUUGCUGGACACAAGAAUGUUGUGCGAAACCAAGAAGCUUUUGAUCAUAGUUACACUGCUCAGCAAGGGGAAACAAAUUCUGCUGCACAUAAGAAUGUUGUUCAGAUUAAAGAAACUUUGCUUCAGAAUGUCCGUACACAGCAGGGAGAAAAAAUGUUUGCUGCAAACAAAGUGGUAUCUUUUCAUAAUCGCAUACACAUUUAUGUUCAAACUAUA